UAAGCGAAGUAUGAAAUCUUAGGGCUCAACCCUGAAAUUGUGCUUCGAACUGAAAGACUAGAGUAUGGUAGAGGUAAUUGGAAUUUCUAGUGUAGGAGUGAAAUCCGUAGAUAUUAGAAGGAACACCAAUGGCGUAGGCAGAUUACUGGACCAUUACUGACACUGAGGCACGAAAGCGUGGGGAGCGAACGGGAUUAGAUACCCCGGUAGUCCACGCCGUAAACGAUGGAUGCUA
rnacentral:rRNA from 1 species